AUUUUGAUUUUUUAUUUUUCUAUAAAUUAUUUUACUCAUAUUUUAAAAUACAUAGUUUAUUUAUUGUCACUAUUAUAUAUAUCAUGUUUUUAUGUUUUACAUGUCACUAUUAUUUUUUUGUUUUUAUAUUUUUCAUAUCACUAUUAUAUAUCAUAUAUGUGUCAUCAUAUAAUUAAUAGUAUUUUAUAGAUAUUAUCAUAUAGUUAAAUACAUACAUCUAUAUUUUGAAAAAGUUAAUGUGAAAUAUAAAAUCUAUAUUUAAUUUUUUUAAAAAAAAUUGGCCUUUGUACUUUAUAUUUUCUUAUAUAUUUAUAUUUUUUUUAAGUGGACAUUUGAAAAUAUUUUCGUAAAAAUCAAUUUUUGUAUAUAUGUUUAUUUUUGAAUAAAAAAUUGAUAUAAAUAAAUUUAAUUUUUUUUAUUGGUAAUAUGAAUAAAAAUUUUAAGUUUUUUAUUUAUUUUAGUUUUAGAAUAAAUUCUUAGGUGUUGACAAAAACAAAAUAUAUUUUAGGUCAUUUUUUUUUUGAAACACAAUUUUUGGCCAUUAAAUUGGGUUUUGUUUAUAUUAAUGCUGGCACAUAUCAUUAGCUGUAUAUUGGAUUUCUAAUUAGCUUAAUAAUGUUAGCCCAAUUUAAUAACAGAAAGGUAGGCAAACGACUUUCCUCUUUCUAUCGACUUCUCAUUCUCCCAUAUUUUUUUCCUCUUUGCUGAACCCUAUUGCAUGUUGUUUGAUCCAUGAAACUGGAAAAUAUAUCUAUGGAAGAAGAUAUAAGAAAUCAGUUUGAUCUUUAGUUCUGCAGUCUCUUCUAUGAUCAAGAAUAAGAUCAGACAGUAGGAAUCCGGCUUAGUUAACAGAUAUAUAGGUUCGAUUGCAUGUAAUGAAUCAAUCGAAGUUCGAUUUGAUAUACUGUUCGAAAGAAGAAUCAAAAAAACAAAUUUAAGGCAGGAGUAGACAGAGCUGGUCUUAGUCAUCUUUUCAAGUGCAUGUCACGACGAAGUACCACUGCUGCUAGCAUUAACCAAAAGACGUCAGCUAAACCAAACUUAGUCAAUGCACUUGACAUCAAACAGGAGCAAAACACGGUUUGUGUUGGAACGUUAAGAGCUGAAGGGAUGGCAAUCACAUUGAUAAUAUUGGCUUACUAACUGCGUAAAUAGGUAUUUUCGAAAUGAUUAUGAGUUAAUUAUACCUAUUGUAGUACUAUACAAAAAAUUAUAGUGAGAGUGUUACAUGCUAAGUUGCUGGUAAGGUAAUUAUGGAAUCGACUUGUACAUUACUAUGGUCUUAGUUUAACUGGUUGACAUGAUUAUUAGUAAAAGCCAAGUUUAUUGAUUAAAAAUAGAAUUUAAAUGAAAAGUAUUGAAAAAAACGAAAUCCAAACAAAAUCCAGAAAUUCCAAAAACAACAUGAAACAAAAAAGCCAAACAACAAACUUAAAUGUAGCUGAUCCGUUGGUCACAUUAUCAGCGGUGAUGGAAAGCCCAAAACAAAACGAUUUUCCUACCAUGUUUUGGAUAGGAAUAUCUUGGUCUUCAAUCUGUAAGUUAAAAAGGCUAGUUCAUAGAAAUUUUGAAACAAUAAUUGAUCACUAUUUAUCUUAGAACAUAACAAUAAUUACCUCAUCAUAUGACCUGUCCCAAAGUUCAACAACUUUAUCACCAAUAAUACUUGUAGCCACAGUAUCAAGCAACAUUAACUCGGAUGAUCAAGUGUCAUAUUUCACUAACACAUGAAGCUUAUAACUGCAGGUUUCAAAAAUACAAAACCAAUGUAGAUAUAUUAAUACUUUUAAAUUAAGUCACGUUUUAAUUAAAAUUGCA